rnacentral:rRNA from 1 species
AUUGAACGCUGGCGGCAUGCCUAACACAUGCAAGUCGAACGGCAGCACGGCAGUAGCAAUACUGUGGGUGGCGAGUGGCGGACGGGUGAGGAAUACGUCGGAAUCUGCCCAGUCGUGGGGGAUAACUAGCCGAAGGUUAGCUAAUACCGCAUACGACCGAGAGGUGAAAGCGGGGGACCGCAAGGCCUCGCGCGAUUGGAUGAGCCGACGUCGGAUUAGCUAGUUGGUGGGGUAAAGGCCCACCAAGGCGACGAUCCGUAGCUGGUCUGAGAGGAUGAUCAGCCACACUGGAACUGAGACACGGUCCAGACUCCUACGGGAGGCAGCAGUGGGGAAUAUUGGACAAUGGGCGCAAGCCUGAUCCAGCAAUGCCGCGUGAGGGAUGACGGCCUUCGGUUGUAAACCUCUUUCAGCAGGAAGAAGCGAAAGUGACGGUACCUGCAGAAGAAGCACCGGCUAACUACGUGCCAGCAGCCGCGGUAAU